rnacentral:rRNA from 1 species
CCUACGGGAGGCAGCAGUAAGGAAUAUUGGUCAAUGGACGAAAGUCUGAACCAGCCAUGCCGCGUGAAGGAUGAAGGCCCUCUGGGUUGUAAACUUCUUUUAUCUGGGACGAAAAAAGGGUAUUCUUACCCACUUGACGGUACCAGAGGAAUAAGCACCGGCUAACUCCGUGCCAGCAGCCGCGGUAAUACGGAGGGUGCAAGCGUUAUCCGGAUUCACUGGGUUUAAAGGGAGCGUAGGUGGGCUGAUAAGUCAGUGGUGAAAUCUCCGGGCUUAACCCGGAAACUGCCAUUGAUACUAUUAGUCUUGAAUUAUCUGGAGGUAAGCGGAAUAUGUCAUGUAGCGGUGAAAUGCUUAGAUAUGACAUAGAACACCAAUUGCGAAGGCAGCUUGCUACGGAUUGAUUGACACUGAGGCUCGAAAGCGUGGGGAUCAAACAGGAUUAGAUACCCUGGUAGUCCACGCCCUAAACGAUGGAUACUCGACAUCAGCGAUACACUGUUGUGUCUGAGCGAAAGCAUUAAGUAUCCCACCUGGAAGUACGACCGCAAGGUUGAAACUCAAAUGAAUUGACGGCUGAGAGNGCGAGCGACACGAGGGAGGAGG